rnacentral:pre_miRNA from 1 species
UUAACUCAAAUUUUUAUGGAGUUGGAACGUUUGUCUAUGUUUGCCGCUAGGGGCGCUGUUCAAAUUCCAUACAAAUUUGAGAUA